GACGAACGCUGGCGGCGUGCUUAACACAUGCAAGUCGAGCGGUAAGGCCCUUCGGGUACGACGAGCGGCGAACGGGUGAGUAACACGUGGGUGACCUGCCUCUAGCUCUGGGAUAAGCCUGGGAAACUGGGUCUAAUACCGGAUAUGACUCCACGGCGCAUGUUGUGGGGUGGAAAGCCUUGUGUGGCUAGAGAUGGGCCCGCGGCCUAUCAGCUUGUUGGUGGGGUGAUGGCCUACCAAGGCGACGACGGGUAGCCGGCCUGAGAGGGCGACCGGCCGACACUGGGACUGAGACACGGCCCAGACUCCUACGGGAGGCAGCAGUGGGGAAUCUUGCGCAAUGGGCGAAAGCCUGACGCAGCGACGCCGCGUGAGGGAUGACGGCCU
rnacentral:rRNA from 1 species